GACCUCUUGGGAUCGAGUCUGGAGAACUAGUAUUCUGCCAGCUUAGGAAGCAGGAGGGAGAACAAGUCUAGCAGAGGUACCCAUUCCAUUCCCAGUUUGCUCAGUAGCUGGUGAUUGGAAGACACUCUGCAACAUCA
ensembl:snoRNA